GGCUGGGUGGUUUAGUUGGAAAAGCACUUGCCUAGCGUAUAAGGGUCGUGAGUUCAAAUCGCACCUCAGCUG
rnacentral:tRNA from 1 species